AUCAUACUCCCUCCGUCCGGAAAUACUUGUCGGAGGAAUGGAUGUAUCUAGACGUAUUUUAAUUCUAGAUACAUCCAUUUUUAUGCAUUUUUUCGACAAAUAUUUCCGGACAGAGGGAGUACUAC
rnacentral:pre_miRNA from 1 species